UGGCGAGGCGAGGCGACCA
rnacentral:misc_RNA from 1 species